UGGGGAAUAUUGGACAAUGGGCGGAAGCCUGAUCCAGCCAUGCCGCGUGUGUGAAGAAGGCCUUUUGGUUGUAAAGCACUUUAAGCGAGGAGGAGGCUACUUGGAUUAAUACUCUAGGAUAGUGGACGUUACUCGCAGAAUAAGCACCGGCUAACUCUGUGCCAGCAGCCGCGGUAAUACAGAGGGUGCGAGCGUUAAUCGGAUUUACUGGGCGUAAAGCGUGCGUAGGCGGCUUCUUAAGUCGGAUGUGAAAUCCCUGAGCUUAACUUAGGAAUUGCAUUCGAUACUGGGAAGCUAGACUAUGGGAGAGGAUGGUAGAAUUCCAGGUGUAGCGGUGAAAUGCGUAGAGAUCUGGAGGAAUACCGAUGGCGAAGGCAGCCAUCUGGCCUAAUACUGACGCUGAGGUACGAAAGCAUGGGGAGCAAACAGG
rnacentral:rRNA from 1 species